GGGGGGGGGGGGGGGGGGGCGGAGGGGAGGGGGGGCGGGGGGAGGGGCGCGGCGGGUGGGGGGGGGUCGAGUGGCGAACGGGUGGGUAACACGUGAGUAACCUGCCCUUGACUGUGGGGUAACUUCAGGAAACUGGGGCUAAUACCGGAUAGGAGCUCCUGCUGCAUGGUGGGGGUUGGAAAGUUUCGGCGGGUGGGGAUGGACUCGCGGCUUAUCAGCUUGUGGGUGGGGUAGUGGCUUACCAAGGCUUUGACGGGUAGCCGGCCUGAGAGGGUGACCGGCCACAUUGGGACUGAGAUACGGCCCAGACUCCUACGGGAGGCAGCAGUGGGGAAUAUUGCACAAUGGGCGGAAGCCUGAUGCAGCAACGCCGCGUGCGGGAUGACGGCCUUCGGGUUGUAAACCGCUUUCGCCUGUGACGAAGCGUGAGUGACGGUAAUGGGUAAAGAAGCACCGGCUAACUACGUG
rnacentral:rRNA from 1 species